ACCGACUAACCACUGUCAUUGUGAUUCGACGAGGGAUUGUGGGGGAUGAAGGAUUACAUUUCAUUUGAAAGCCUAAUAACAGACAUUCUUUUCUGGGAAACCAUUAUCAGCUCUAUGUUAGAACAAAACCACCACUAUGAUCGAACUAAUUCCAUUUGUAACAAGCUUCUCAUAAUUAUUCACUAUUACCUCAUUAUCUUUUAAUCCAUAUGUUCUCUAUGACUCAAUCAGAAGGACUUGGCAUUAUCUCCAGGACAACUAUUGGCAGCUGUACAGUCCAGGUCAGGGGCGAAACAGGCUGUUGUGUGUCCUCCAGCAAGAUUUAAUAAGCGGGGUUAUUAUAAAGGAAUAUUUUCCCUGCUCUCCCAAUCUAGAAACUGGCAGUAAGACCUGUCUCAUUCUCCCCGCUCUGCAGAGCAAGUAAUACCCACUAAUCCUAGACACAGAAAGAGACUGUGGGGAUGAGGGAGAGGGAGAGAGGGAGGAAGUGAGCACCAUUAUUUACAAUGUUAUGCUAAGUCCUUUCCUCAGCCAUUCACACCCUCACCCUUAGACCCCCAUCACGUCUAUCUGUGUGUGUGUGUGUGUGUGUGUGUGUGUGUGUGUGUGUGUGUGUGUGUGUGUGUGUGUGUGUGUGUGUGGCAUGUCACCAGAGCAGGCCCACUGUGGACGACUACACACGGACCAGAGUCUCAAUCCCCAGCAGUGUUCAUUUAGAAGAGUUCCCACUGGUGGAGCGCGCACACACACACACACACACACACACACACACACACACACACACACACACACACACACACACACACACACACACACACACACACACACACACACACACACACCCUUCCCUUCCCAUCCAAUAUGAUGUAACGGGAUAUGGGCUGUUUCCCAGUCAAGACCGUUCGUCUUCUACACACCGAAACAAGUGACAGAGAAGAGGACGACUAGAUUUUUGUGUUUCCUCUCCCUGUUUAAAGGAGUAAUAUGUCUCCAUCUCUGUCUAUCCUAUUGUAAUGGAGUAGGUGUCACUACACUGCCUGAGGAAAUAGCCUUAUACUCCCUCUGCCUCUAUAUGUACACACACACACACACACACACACACACACACACACACACACACACACACACACACACACACACACACACACACACACACACACACGUGGUGCAGAGACCACAUAUACACUCUUGUGGCUGUGGCCCCGAUGACACUGCUUAAAUAUUAAUGACCUGAUUCUCUCUCAUUAAUAAUAGCUGCAGUGCUGAUUAGUCUGUAAAGACACUGUGUGUGUGUGUGUGUGUGUGUGUGUGUGUGUGUGUGUGUGUGUGUGUGUGUGUGUGUGUGUGUGUGUGUGUGUGUGUGUGUGUGUGUGUUUCUACUUAAUGCGUGAAACAAGGAUUUGUUCCGGCCUGUCGCUAAUAUAUUACGCACUGAAUUGCUCCAAAGUGAUUACUGACAUGAGAUAAAUGAAAUAAAAUUAAGUCACAGGGCGUUCAGGAUGUUAAAGGUUAUUACAGUAUGUGGUGAUCCAUCCGUUGUCUGUGUGUAUAGGGAUGAAACCAGCAGAACUUCACCACAGAGACACGCGCAUACACAGAUUCAAAUGCAUAGAUUUACAGAUUUCACACAGACGGACGUCAGCUUAGUUAAGGCACACAUGAUGCGGCUGGCUUAAGUUAGCUUAGUACUACACAUGACAUACACACUGGGACCGACAAAAGUAGACACCAGCCUCCAGAACAACAACAGCGAUGCAGAAUAAAGCAUCCACGAGCUGAAAACAAAGGCAGACAGGAAAAAAUCAAAGCUGAAGAGUUGGUGGCUCUAAUUUUACUAUACUUUAUUACUAAUGGAGCUGUUUUCUUACCCGAGUCUCGCGCUGCACUUAUAUAAAUGAACAGCUAUGCUUCAUGUUUGGCAUGUGAAUGUGUACGUUGUGCGUUUGUGUGUGUGUGUCCUGAUUGGCCGAGGGAUCCAAAACAGUCACAGUUUCUGUUUCCCUGAUGAAUUACGCCGCACUGCAUCGAGACAGGUCGGCGGCGGGAAGGAGUGGAAGGAGGAACGAGACGGAGGAAGAAAGAGGAGGGCUGCACGCGCUCCAUUAGGCGGCCUCUCACCUGACGGAGGCCUGUCUCACCUGACGGAGGCCUGUCUCACCUGGCUGCCUGCAGACCCGCCCUGAACCUCUCUGGACGCGUGUUCGCGGCUCGGCUGGUGCAAAUCAUCUUAUUAGCUUGUGCUAAUGUCGACUCCGGAUUCCUGGGACACUCAGACGGCCCCUAAUUUAAUUGGCUGACUCUAUUAAUAUUGCAUUUAUUUAAAUACAGCACAUCUGACCCUGUGUCAUGUCAGACUAUGGAUAUAGAUGAGGAAAAGGAAAUCCACAUUUACCUGCUGCAAAACCGCUGCAUAACUGUCGUGUUUAACAGAAUUAAAAAGUGUGUAAAGAG